rnacentral:rRNA from 1 species
CAGUCGCCACGGUAAUACGAAGGGGGCUAGCGUUGCUCGGAAUUACUGGGCGUAAAGGGCGCGUAGGCGGCGCUCCAAGUUAGGCGUGAAAUUCCCGGGCUCAACCUGGGGACUGCGCUUAAGACUGGAGUGCUUGAGGAUGGAAGAGGGUUGUGGAAUUCCCAGUGUAGAGGUGAAAUUCGUAGAUAUUGGGGAGAACACCGGUGGCGAAGGCGGCAACCUGGUCCAUUACUGACGCUGAGGCGCGAUAGCGUGGGGAGCAAACAGGAUUAGAUACCCCAGUAGUCCCUGUCUCUUAUAC